rnacentral:rRNA from 1 species
GAUGAACGCUGGCGGCGUGCCUAAUACAUGCAAGUCGAGCGAACAGACGAGGAGUUUGCUCCUCUGACGUUAGCGGCGGACGGGUGAGUAACACGUGGAUAACCUACCUAUAAGACUGGGAUAACUUCGGGAAACCGGAGCUAAUACCGGAUAAUAUAUUGAACCGCAUGGUUCAAUAGUGAAAGACGGUUUUGCUGUCACUUAUAGAUGUAUCCGCGCCGCAUUAGCUAGUUGGUAAGGUAACGGCUUACCAAGGCAACGAUGCGUAGCCGACCUGAGAGGGUGAUCGGCCACACUGGAACUGAGACACGGUCCAGACUCCUACGGGAGGCAGCAGUAGGGAAUCUUCCGCAAUGGGCGAAAGCCUGACGGAGCAACGCCGCGUGAGUGAUGAAGGUCUUCGGAUCGUAAAACUCUGUUAUUAGGGAAGAACAAAUGUGUAAGUAACUAUGCACGUCUUGACGGUACCUAAUCAGAAAGCCACGGCUAACUACGUG